ensembl:lncRNA
CGAGGGGGCGCAUUAAAAUGUUUGUUAAACAGCGCAUCAGGCGAGCAAGUUUGACCAAGAGCUAAUAUAAACAAUGGAAGCGGUGAAAAUGGGUGUGUAGGACGGGUCAGCACAAUCUACAUAACCAUUCCAGCGGUUAAAUCACUCCUUGUUGGUCUUCCUUACGCGAUGCGUGGUGCUCAAAACACGUGACUUUAAAUUACAGCGAGAUUCUCGCCACUGUAAGCCGCCUCCAUUGUGGUGGCCCCCUCCCUGUCUUCAUCAGAGCUGGCUGUCCAAUAGGAUUACUGUAAGCCUGCGGUAGGAGCAGCCGACCCGCCACUGAUCAGAAAAUCAUAUCCCUGGAUGCUAGAUUGCUCCUCUCCCCACUUUGCCCUUGUGACGGCAGAGGCUGCUGUCAUGGUGUCAGACGAGAGGGGGAAGAAAAAAAAUUUGCAUUCACAGCCCCCCAAAUUUCGCUGUCCAGCACAUAAUCACAAAAGAAAGUAAAUGAAUAGUAAUUCAGUUUGUCAGGAUAUGAGAAUCGCCGUGCCGUGGAGGAGAAGAAUCUCUGGUUGGAGAAAAAAAGAGAAUAUUUGUAAUGGCUUCCCUUCUGCACACCUCCAUUUUGACUGACUGGCUGCUUUUUCUUCCUCUAGAUUUUUCAAUUUCUGUUCCCUUCCCAACUCUAAAUGCACAUCCAAUCUACAUAUACACAUUGUUUUGUGUUUAUUUUAUUUGAAUUGAAUUGACAAAAAACUAAACCUCAAGUUUUAUUUGUGCAAAUGUGACAUUUUUGGGGACAGUUUUGGGGGCCAGCUGAGCACAAGGCAGAGGGAAUUAAUCAUAGAAAGAGCGGAAGGUCACUGACUGGCUCCUGAAACAUCACUGUGGGUCAUGCGUCUCGGGGCCACGGCUUCAUACACACACCACACUUGUCUUAUCCCCCGUCUGCUUUUUCCCCGGUCCAAGACGAGGCUAGCUCAACCCCAGACACAUGCAGGCGCUCGCACACACUCGCUCAAACACAGUGAAAUAGGGCGGUUCAGAAGACGGAAAUGUUCUGAGCGCAAAUGUGGGAUUCAGGAUGUGAACCCCAGGAAUCACAGACUUGCUGAAAGUUACCCGCUCUGGCCUUCUCAUACGCCGCUCCUGCCCGAACCCACCUGAAAGCCCCUGACCUGCUGAUUUACCCCUAGUAAAACCUGUCCAUGGCGGGCUGAUCCACCUCCCCCCAUCUUGAAAGGACUCUGCGUUGCCCUGCAGAAAAGACAGGACUGGCAGUCGAUGCUACAGACACACAAAAGCAGGUGUGGUAGGCGAACGGCUCGUGUGUUUGUGUUUGAAUACUGUGCUUUGCUUUCUGUGCUUUUUCUGUUUGUCUGGGUUUCUCAGUCCCUGUACUGUGAGGGUGUGUGUAUGUAAGUGUGUGUCUGUCUCUCUCUCUCUCUCUCUACAGUCUCCCACAGAGUGUGUGUGUGUGUGUGUGUGUGUGUGUGUGUGUGCGCGUGGGUGUGUGUCUGGGGUUUAAUGCCAGCAGGAUAAAAAGGAGGCUUUGCAGACUAAGGUUUGAUGCGCUGUUUGUCUUGGUUUGCCUCUCUCUGAGUGUUGUGGGGUGGUUCUUUUGGAUUUAUCUGCCUUUCCUCUGUUCCCUCCUGUCGAGGAAAGGCAGAGCAGACGGAAUACGGUCCUGGGACAUAUAAUCUUUAGGGAAUUUCAUGGUAGUUAGUGCUUGUCAUCAAUGGAGUCAGAUGUAAAAUACUGGUGAAGUUCUGUAGUAUGUAGUUUCGGACAUAUCUGAGGCCAAAUUUCCUCCUGUUUCCGAACAGCGUAACAUGUUAUCUCCCUGUUCAGAAGAUGAAACGGCUUUGGCUCUUUAGGGAGACUUGAAGCUGAAGAUUUUAAGGCUUUUGUGCCUUGUAUCUGUUAUGUUUAUUCGGACCAUAUGUGGUAGCGUGUGUGGGUGAGUGUUGUUUACAUGUGCGUUCGGUGCGCGUGGGUGUGUACGUGUGGACGAACGGAUGUGCGCAGUGGAAUUUCCCCAGGUCUCUUUUUGCCAUGUUUUUUAUUGCCGUUGAAUGUCAGGGAAGUAAUCAGACCCAUCAGGUCAGUCGGGUCUCAGUCCACUGACAGGCGUAAAGUCAGGGGCAUUCAUUUCCAGAGCGCAGCU